ACGGGUGAGUAACACGUGGGCAAUCUGCCCUUCACUCUGGGACAAGCCCUGGAAACGGGGUCUAAUACCGGAUAUCACUUCCACUCGCAUGGGUGGGGGUUGAAAGCUCCGGCGGUGAAGGAUGAGCCCGCGGCCUAUCAGCUUGUUGGUGAGGUAACGGCUCACCAAGGCGACGACGGGUAGCCGGCCUGAGAGGGCGACCGGCCACACUGGGACUGAGACACGGCCCAGACUCCUACGGGAGGCAGCAGUGGGGAAUAUUGCACAAUGGGCGAAAGCCUGAUGCAGCGACGCCGCGUGAGGGAUGACGGCCUUCGGGUUGUAAACCUCUUUCAGCAGGGAAGAAGCGAAAGUGACGGUACCUGCAGAAGAAGCGCCGGUUAACUACGUGCCAGCAGCCGCGGUAAUACGUAGGGCGCAAGCGUUGUCCGGAAUUAUUGGGCGUAAAGAGCUCGUAGGCGGUCUGUCGCGUCGGAUGUGAAAGCCCGGGGCUUAACCCCGGGUCUGCAUUCGAUACGGGCAGACUAGAGUGUGGUAGGGGAGAUCGGAAUUCCUGGUGUAGCGGUGAAAUGCGCAGA
rnacentral:rRNA from 1 species